rnacentral:rRNA from 1 species
AUGUUGCUAGAUGCAGGAGAUGAUGUGUUUGUGCCAAUAGAUGCUCGUGCGUGUGCUCGAGUCCUAGGUUUGGAGGAAGGAGGCAUACGUAUCCCGUUGGGUAAGCCACCGAGCAGGCCUGCAGUCUUGGCUAGGGUUCAUGCUCUUCUUGGCACGGGUAUAGCUAGAUCAAGUAAUGUUCCGGCGCAGAGGGUGUUAGCUAUCCUAGAGGAGGCCAUGGUUGGGGAGGUAGAUGCUACAAGGGAACGGAAGCUGUUGGCGGCAUACACAAUGUAUGCCGGUGUAGUCUUCCUAGCCCCGUGA